AGAGUUUGAUCCUGGCUCAGGAUGAACGCUAGCAGCAGGCUUAACACAUGCAAGUCGAGGGGUAACAUUGAUGCUUGCAUCAGAUGACGACCGGCGCACGGGUGCGUAACGCGUAUACAAUCUACCUUUAACAGGAGGAUACCCUUUAGAAAUGAAGAAUAACACUCCAUGGUAUUUAGAAAUCGCAUGAUUUUUAAAUUAAACAUUCAUGGGUUAAAGAUGGCUAUGCGUUCUAUUAGCUAGAUGGUAAGGUAACGGCUUACCAUGGCAACGAUAGAUAGGGGUCCUGAGAGGGAGAUCCCCCACACUGGUACUGAGACACGGACCAGACUCCUACGGGAGGCAGCAGUGAGGAAUAUUGGGCAAUGGAGGCAACUCUGACCCAGCCAUGCCGCGUGCAGGAUGACUGCCCUAUGGGUUGUAAACUGCUUUUAUACAGGAAGAAACACUGGUAUGUAUACCAGCUUGACGGUACUGUAAGAAUAAGCACCGGCCAACUACGUGCCAGCAGCCGCGAUAAUACGGAGGGUCCGAGCGUUAUCCGGUAUCAUUGGGUUUAAAGGGUCCGUAGGCGGACUAAUAAGUCAGGGGUGAAAUCCAACAGCUUAACUGUUGAACUGCCUUUGAUACUGUUAGUCUUGAAUUAUAUGGAAGUAGAUAGAAUGUGUAGUGUAGCGGUGAAAUGCUUAGAGAUUACACAGAAUACCGAUUGCGAAGGCAGUCUACUACGUAUAUAUUGACGCUAAUGGACGAAAGCGUGGGGAGCGAACAGGAUUAGAUACCUUGGUAGUCCACGCCGUAAACGAUUGACACUAGUUGUUGUUGGAUUAUUCAGUGACUAAGCGAAAGUGAUAAGUGUCCCACCUGGGGAGUACGAUCGCAAGAUUGAAACUCAAAGGAAUUGACGGGGGCCCGCACAAGCGGUGGAGCAUGUGGUUUAAUUCGAUCAUACGCGAGGAACCUUACCAGGGCUUAAAUGUAGUCUGACAGCUUUAGAGAUAGAGUUUUCUUCGGACAGAUUACAAGGUGCUGCAUGGUUGUCGUCAGCUCGUGCCGUGAGGUGUCAGGUUAAGUCCUAUAACGAGCGCAACCCCUAUCGUUAGUUGCUAGCAGGUCAUGCUGAGUACUCUAACGAGACUGCCGAUGCAAACCGUGAGGAAGGUGGGGAUGACGUCAAAUCAUCACGGCCCUUACGUCCUGGGCCACACACGUGCUACAAUGGGAUGGACAAUGAGCAGCCAUCUGGCAAGAGAGAGCGAAUCUAUAAACCAUAUCACAGUUCGGAUCGGAGUCUGCAACUCGACUCCGUGAAGCUGGAAUCGCUAGUAAUCGGAUAUCAGCCAUGAUCCGGUGAAUACGUUCCCGGGCCUUGUACACACCGCCCGUCAAGCCAUGGGAGUUGGGUUUACCCGAAGGCCGUGCGCCAACCUUUCGAGGGGGCAGCGGACCACGGUGAGCUCAGCGACUGGGGUGAAGUCGUAACAAGGUAGCCGUAGGGGAACCUGCGGCUGGAUCACCUCCUU
rnacentral:rRNA from 1 species